GCAACGCUAGCUCAGUUGGAUAGAGCAGGAGAUUGAAACUCUCCGGGUCGCGGGUUCGAUUCCCGCGCGUGCA
rnacentral:tRNA from 1 species